CGGCGUAAAGAGUGGUUAUGGAACCAAAAAACUAAAGCUGAAAGCCCCUCAGACUGUCAUACGCAUCCAAGGGCCGGAACCCCACUACACGAAAGUAGCUUUAUCAAUGACUACCAGAACCCACGACAGCUGGGGCACAAACUGGGAUUAGAUACCCCACUAUGCCCAGCCAUAAACCUUGAUUUUCCUAUACAAUUAUUAUCCGCCAGGGAACUACGAGCACCAGCUUAAAACCCAAAGGACUUGGCGGUGCCUCAGACCCUCCUAGAGGAGCCUGUUCUAGAACCGAUAAUCCCCGUUAAACCUCACCACUUCUUGCCUUUUCCGCCUAUAUACCACCGUCGUCAGCUUACCCUGUGAAGGAAAAAAAGUAAGCAAAACGGAAACCUUCCAAAACGUCAGGUCGAGGUGUAGCAUACGAAGUGGGAAGAAAUGGGCUACAUUUUCUGACACAGAAUAUCUACGGAAAGUCACCUGAAAUGGUAAUUCAAAGGUGGAUUUAGCAGUAAAAAGGGAAUAGAGUGCCCUUUUGAAGCCGGCUCUGAGGCGCGCACACACCGCCCGUCACUCUCCCCAACAACACCAUUAAAGUAAAUAACACCAUAAAAUUUUACAAGGGGAGGCAAGUCGUAACAUGGUAAGUGUAC
rnacentral:rRNA from 1 species